AUUUCUCACACACAUUUUUGUGGUUAUUAAUUUAUUUCUCUGGAGUGUUUGGUCUAACAUGAAGACGAAGAACAGACUGCUGCUUUUUCUUGAGCUGUGGACAAAGGACUGAGGAAAUGCUUAACUGCAUCUUCAAUUAAACAUCAGUCUUAAAGGCUAUUUCAGGAUGAGUUCGUGGAAACCCACAGGCUCACCACAAUUAUCACUUCCAUCAUGGAGCACUAAUUGAACAGAAACUCAGCGCGUUGCACAGAUGCACUGAACGCCGCACUGUUGACCGGGCAUAUAUUUCAACUGAUAUGGUUUCCAG